GGGGGCGACCUGGCUUCGACGUGGGUUGCAAAGCAGAUCAGUGCAUACCGAGGACGGAUUACCUCGUAAAUACAACCGAAUCGUUUAACUGCAAACGACGAAACUUACGCUCUAGCCGCUUAAUCCGGUUAGACCCUGCACCAGCCAGCAUACGGGUUGGGUUGCGCAAGCAACAGCAGGGUAAUUUAAGUAUGCUCGCGGGGGUCAGGGUUACUUUGACCACUGUUAAAACCAAGGUAACUCGCGGGUAGCAAGCCUGUUCGGCGGGCGUGAUACCGGCUAAAACCAAAUCACCGAACUAAGUAUGUAGGGCUGACUGUAGAGGGCUUGCGGACGCGGGUUCGAUUCCCGCCGCCUCCACCA
rnacentral:tmRNA from 1 species